UCGGUGAUAAAUACGCCAGAUACACCGGCUACAACCAGGUGGCAGAUCUGAAUAACUUCAUCAUCCUGUAUCCUCAGGCCAAAUCCAGCAUGAUGUCCAACCCUAACGGAUGCUGGGACUGGUGGGGAUACAGCAGUUCUGCAUAUGCUAACAAGAACGGUUACCAGAUGACCGGCGUGGAAAGGAUGAUGCUGAGAACUUUUGGACAGUACUAACGUUAUCCGUAUAAGAUGUGAAGGCGGGAAUGGGGGCGAGCGGACGCUCCCGACACGUGGAUUGGCUGUUACAUUUUCAUUUACAAAUAUUGUUAUGGGGGGAAAAAAAUUCAAAUGAUUUGCUGUUAUCAUUCCAAAAUGAAUAAUUGUGGGUGUGGCUUCCUUUAGGGGAGGAGCAAGCAGCUUUGGGAAAAUGCCUGUUUUAUCACCAUCGUCUUUAAUAGACUUAUUAACGUCUAAACAAAGAUGAAG